GCAAGAAACGUAGUGUGUAUGCUGGAUCAGCCUCGAAUUGGGAUGCGGUAUUAUUUUUGGUCUGCCAUGUGUUUGACCACAAUUGUGACUAAUCUAAUAUCAAAAAUUAGAUUAUGACUUUAAUAAUAUAGAUAGAGUAUAGAUGGUGUUUGGAUUGAUUGGCCAUGUAAGAAAUAUGGUAUAUAAGUUAGAUCACUCUUAGACAAGG
rnacentral:lncRNA from 1 species